UACGUAGGGGCCGAGCGUUGUCCGGAGUUACUGGGCGUAAAGCGUGCGCAGGCGGUUAUUUAAGUCAGGGGUGAAAGCCCUGGGCUUAACCUAGGAAUUGCGCUUGAGACUGGAUAGCUUGGAGUGCGGCAGAGGGAGGUGGAAUUCCACGUGUAGCAGUGAAAUGCGUAGAGAUGUGGAGGAACACCGAUGGCGAAGGCAGCCUCCUGGGCCAGCACUGACGCUCAUGCACGAAAGCGUGGGGAGCAAACAGG
rnacentral:rRNA from 1 species